GGAUGAACGCUAGCUACAGGCUUAACACAUGCAAGUCGAGGGGAAACGGCAUUGAGUGCUUGCACUCUUUGGACGUCGACCGGCGCACGGGUGAGUAACGCGUAUCCAACCUUCCCAUUACUGUGGGAUAACCUGCCGAAAGGCAGACUAAUACCGCAUAGUCUUCGAUGACGGCAUCAGAUUUGAAGUAAAGAUUUAUCGGUAAUGGAUGGGGAUGCGUCUGAUUAGCUUGUUGGCGGGGUAACGGCCCACCAAGGCUACGAUCAGUAGGGGUUCUGAGAGGAAGGUCCCCCACAUUGGAACUGAGACACGGUCCAAACUCCUACGGGAGGCAGCAGUGAGGAAUAUUGAUCAAUGGACGGAAGUCUGAACCAGCCAAGUAGCGUGCAGGAUGACGGCCCUAUGGGUUGUAAACUGCUUUUGUAUGGGGAUAAAGUUAGGGACGUGUCCCUAUUUGCAGGUACCAUACGAAUAAGGACCGGCUAAUUCCGUG
rnacentral:rRNA from 1 species